AUGGCUCGUGGCGAUCAUCAAAGUGAUGAUGACGAUUUCAUGGAUCCACCUCAACGUAACCAGGCAACUGGACGGAGAAAAGAGGGCGAUGAGAAGAAGAAACGUAUUCGCAACAGAGCCUCCCAGGAACGUCUGGCCGUGUUGAUUGACAAAUUCACUGACGAUCAAAAGGGAGCUGCUGCUGAGAUGGGUAUGCAGGUUCUGAUGGAUGUCCGGUGUACGAACCUUGUCAACCCGGUAUGCGACUGGCUUGGUGAGAUAUACGAUCCCGCCUCUAGGGAAUUCGUGAUCCUGGGACGGGGAAGACUUCCAUUGAAUGAGGAAUCCGUGUUCUGCACUUUGGGUGUACCUCGGGGACAUAUCAAAGUCCCGUACGAGGUUAAUAAUGAGAUCGAGGAAGAGCUGUUCGCCCGUUUGUUUCCUGGGUUGGAGGCAAUGCCGAACACGUCUGUACUGGCAGAUUCUCUGCAGGACAUGACGACACACAGAGAAGUUUUCAAGAUGAAGCUACUCAUGUACCUCAUCUCAGCCGUUUUCGCGCCGACCACUUCUCUUCGCCCAAGCAACAAAUGUUUCCCCAUCCUGGCGAAUCUGAAAAACGUGAAGAGUAUGAACUGGUGUAAGUUUAUUGCCGACUUUCUCCAUGAUGCUUUCAAAAACAAGAUGUACCAGAAGGGUUGUCGUCUGCACUUAAUGCUCAUGUAUGUCGACUCUCUUGAUCUGUCCACCGUGGAUUUCACCGGGAUAGGAGGCCCGCCGCCUACUCACAAGUUUGCUGUUUCUGCGUGGACCAUCAACGCUGUCAAGGCUGUGCUUGCCGCAGACAGGGCAACUGAUGGCACAUAUGGAAAACUACAGCUGAUGGCCAAGCAUGCUAUAGACUACAGCGUGUUUGGGGGGCCUCAAAAAUUUGAAAAGUGGAUGGACGUGCACUCAGCUCCGUCUUGCCCUUCUGAGGCGAGGGCACCAGUGGAGCAUCUAAUUGGGCAGUUUGCAUCCGGAAUGACCGGCCUGCUCGGGAAGUUGGUUGAGGGGUGGACGUCCCUCAGUGCCUCUGACAGCGACGCGGUUGCGAGGCAGUUCACUUCAUUUGUCCCAGAACGUACACAUCGGCCAACCGGUUGCCGUGGCCGGUAUGACUACAACAACUCCCAAGAGCCCGGUGACACACAGGAUGAUGUGGAUGGAGACGCUGGCCUCAGCAAGGACGACGACGAUGACACCGAUGGCGAUGAACACGCUGAAGUUCGCACAUGCGGCAACAAGGGCAAGGAUGCAACAGGUGCCCACCCACCGGAGAAAGUGAAAGAACAUACGGCUGCGAGAGGCGAGGGGGUUUUGCCAUCAAGGAGGGGGAGGGCUCCAGAGGAUGUUGGGCAGGGUUCUGCUGGCAAGAGGUCUAGGAUCGAUCCCGUAGCUGCCAGGAAGAGUGAGCCGACCGCUGGUGGACGAGCAGCUACGAAGAAACAGGCGCCAACGCCAACCCGUGUUUCUGCUCGCUUGAACAAAGGUGCCCCCAUUGCCGGUGACAUCCCUUCCACCAGGUCUUCUGCUCGUACGACGACGACCAACACCGGGGAUCCUGUCGUGUUGCCUGACCUGAGGAAGGCAGUCAAGAAGGUGAAGAAGACUACUACGCGCGGGGCCAAGCAUAUCAGUAGAGACCCACUCGAAUGCCUGCAUUCAAAGUUGUCAACAGGUGGCAACUCAGAUGUACAUGAGGCGCCAGGCGACAAUACUGCUGCUGCACCGUCAACUGCUCCCACUAACUCUGAUGCAAGUGGCCGACCAUCUCCGCCGGCUGCAGAUGUGCAGGCUAGAACAACAGGCAUCCGUACAUCGGGGAGUGACGAGUCGGUAUCCGUCAGGACAGCUGAAAUAUUGCCAACUCUUCUGGCAAUGAAGGAUGCUGCUGUGAGCCAUGCCACCCCAUCAGCAAGCGUCGAAGUGGAUGCUCCCGAGACCAACCUAGGCAAGGAAGAUUCCCGCUCAUCUGACACUGAUUCCAAGCGCGUGCCUGGUGUCUCACCUGUGUCCAUGACAGAAGCGGCUGAGGCGGCACUUCACAAGGAUAUGCCAUCUGCAGAUGAGAAUCCUGGCACAACAGCUCCAGCUCCUGUCGGUGGAGAUACUGCUAAGGCGACCGUUCCGCGUGCUGGUCUUCCACCUAGGCGUCGUAGCCCCCGCAAGCAAUCAACAGACAUACCCAACGCUCCGGCUGUAGCUAGGAGCAGGAGAGACGAAUCUGGUUAUGUUCCUACGUCCACACUGUUCCCGCCACCUGCAAAAAUCAAUGUGAUGGAGAAACCGCAAGACCGGAGCACAACUGAUGCAGGUGUCAAGCCGGGCAUGAGUGACGCGGAGGAACGCCCGGAGCAGACUGCGCCUUCACCCGCAGCGGAAAUCCCCAGCAUAAAUCUGCGCACUUCCAGGCUCCCAGUCAAUGUCGGUGUCCCCUACAGUCCAAACAAGAAGAUUGUCAUGAAAGCUGCGGCUGAGACCGCUGACAACACACCCCGCCCUGCAAAUAAGGCCGAUCAUUUUGUAGCAGCCGAUUCAGAUAUGUUUGUCGAUCUUUCACCCUUGGAUUCUGCCCCGAAAGUCGUUCGUGUUCCGGCCAGUAGGAAUGAGAGGCACCCAAUGGCCUUUACCCCACCGAGCUUCAGCCUCGGCGUCAGUCAAGAUCAACCGGUGGUGCACGAUCCUAUACCAGUUGCCUUUGCUUUCCCAGGAGGCAUGCCGCAAUGA
rnacentral:rRNA from 1 species